GCACGUGACGUCAUCUAUGCAUGUCAAGUCGAGCGAACAGAUAAGGAGCUUGCUCCUUUGACGUUAGCGGCGGACGGGUGAGUAACACGUGGGUAACCUACCUAUAAGACUGGAAUAACUCCGGGAAACCGGGGCUAAUGCCGGAUAACAUUUAGAACCGCAUGGUUCUAAAGUGAAAGAUGGUUUUGCUAUCACUUAUAGAUGGACCCGCGCCGUAUUAGCUAGUUGGUAAGGUAACGGCUUACCAAGGCAACGAUACGUAGCCGACCUGAGAGGGUGAUCGGCCACACUGGAACUGAGACACGGUCCAGACUCCUACGGGAGGCAGCAGUAGGGAAUCUUCCGCAAUGGGCGAAAGCCUGACGGAGCAACGCCGCGUGAGUGAUGAAGGUCUUCGGAUCGUAAAACUCUGUUAUUAGGGAAGAACAAAUGUGUAAGUAACUGUGCACGUCUUGACGGUACCUAAUCAGAAAGCCACGGCUAACUACGUGCCAGCAGCCGCGGUAAUACGUAGGUGGCAAGCGUUAUCCGGAAUUAUUGGGCGUAAAGCGCGCGUAGGCGGUUUCUUAAGUCUGAUGUGAAAGCCCACGGCUCAACCGUGGAGGGUCAUUGGAAACUGGGAAACUUGAGUGCAGAAGAGGAAAGUGGAAUUCCAUGUGUAGCGGUGAAAUGCGCAGAGAUAUGGAGGAACACCAGUGGCGAACGCGACUUUCUGGUCUGUAACUGACGCUGAUGUGCGAAAGCGUGGGGAUCAAACAGGAUUAGAUACCCUGGUAGUCCACGCCGUAAACGAUGAGUGCUAAGUGUUAGGGGGUUUCCGCCCCUUAGUGCUGCAGCUAACGCAUUAAGCACUCCGCCUGGGGGGAGUACGACCGCAAGGGUUGAAACUCAAAGGGAAUUUGACGGGGACCCCGCCACAGCGGGUGGGAGCAUGGUGGAUUAAUUCGAAGCAACGCGAAGAAUCUACUAAUCUGACAUCUUUGGACACUCUAGAGAAUAGAGUCGUCCCUCGAGGCGAACUAAAUUGACAGGUGAGGUGCCAUGGAAUGAUCCGAUU
rnacentral:rRNA from 1 species